CGCAGCAACGGAGGAGAUCGGACAUCAUCUUCUCCAACUCCGACCGUACUCCGGCAACCUUUUUGACAGUUCCGAUGUUCACCUGCAUCGAGCUGCCGCCGUGACCUGAACGACAGUGCCAACCUGCUGCCAACGACAUUGACCACCGAAGCCUCUUCUUCCUUUCCCGACCAUUUGCAUUGAGUUUAUGGUGAUGAGGAGGGUGUGAAUUGUGGGGACGACGGUUCACUGUACCAGCAGGGUGAUAAAAGGCAAGCAGCCCUUAGGGUGUAUCAACUUUACUAUUUUGAAUAUGACAUGCUUGGUGUGAUGUCAUGAUUGUGUUGGAGACACUACCCUUGUGGUUCUAAAUGAUUGUUUACUACCGUUAAUGUUGGUCAUUAGCAUGUGUAGGAGUUGUUUGUGGUAAACAUGGGAUUGGUAUGCCAUUGGUUUGGAUAUGAUCCUAAGUUUGGGUAUUUAUGUUGUUGGGCUGUAAGCAUCGGUCCUUGCUCUUUGGGUCUUGGGUGACUUGGUAA